GCCGGAGAGGCUGGCCUGCCCGCAGCGCAGACAGGAAUGUCACCGUGGUCUCCCAGGCUGAAUGACAAAAGUUCGUGGACUGCCCCCUCCCCGCCUAUCCUCCACCCACGCGUACCGCCCCGUUCCCCCACCGUUUCCGACCCGGCAGCUUCUGGAAAACAGCGCCCUUGAUCCUCCCGGGCAGGAAGAAGGGCCAAGGAAGGGGUUAGAAGGGAAAGAGUUAGGAUUUCCCAAGAACCAGCCCUGAAGGCCUGGAGGUGGGGGAUUUCGCUUCUUAGUUGGACGGGAGCCCCUUGGGUUCCUCACUUCUUAGCCCGCGCCCUGCGGGAGGAGCGACUCUGCUUGUCCCUCAAGAUGCUUGUGAAGGUGCCCGCUGCGCUCUGACACCGGCGAUCUCUUAGAAUGAAGACCAUCCCUGGGCAAAAUUGCGAAGAAGUGGAAGGAAAGAAGAGAAAGAAGAAGAAAGGAAUAUAGGAUCUUCCUCAGCAUCAGUAAUUUCUUUGGAAAGAAUUGGGGAGAAAGAAG
rnacentral:lncRNA from 1 species